GUGGGCAAAAUCAAUAGAAUUUAAAUAGUUAUGCAUUACACAGAAAUGUUGAAAUUAACAUUUUUUAAAAACUAAUUACAAAACUUUUCUGUUUGAUGAUACCAUACAUGAAAUAAAAUUAAAUUUAAUAACAAAAUAUAUGCUUUGACUAUUUAAAUGUGAUAUGAAUGUCGAGUAUAAAAUAAACCUGUUUCUACUUUCCUGUGUGUUGUUUGUUCUCGGUAAAGAUCAAAGAGUGCAACAAAUGCAUUUGCUUAGUAGAUAUCUAUUUCAUUCCCUACAAAAUUAGUAAGUUGCGGUGAGUUGACAACUGAGUGACUUGUAACAUUUAAAUAAAAAUUGCCAAAGUAGAAGAAUCAUUCAGAUCAAUCAGUCUAGAGAUUUUUCAGAGCAGACCUAUUUUAUCCUGUAAUUUCCAAGUUGAUUUUCACUUCCCUUCAAUUUAGUCAAUAGUCCUCUCUACUAUUUAUCCUUAAUUUUACAAGCUGGUUGACAACACACAAAGAAUUAUGUUUGACAAACAAAUGAGCUGUCAUAAGCUUGCAAACUGUAGUCCAAAAUAGCCAAAUCAAGGGAGGGGGGAUCUUUCUUUCUCUUCUUUUGAAAUUUUCAGCUUUUGUGGCCUAAAUUUUAUAAGCCAUUUGUCAGCUGUUAGUGAAUAAAGCAAUCACUAUUCGGUGAAUGAACCCACUUGUUUCCAAAUGGUUAAUCAUCCCAGUUGGCAGCAGAAACAGAUUAGAUAUUAACUAAGCAAGUAGUAAAAUUGUUAAUUAUAUGCUACCUAGUUUUGCCAACACAUAUUUUGUGUAUGACUGCAAUUGCUUUACAUUUUAGCCUCUAGAAUGUUGUUCAAAAUGUAAUUAUCUUUUUGUAUCAUAGUUAGGCAUGUUUUGUUAUUGUUCAUUGUUUCCAAUAUAACUUGCUGGUUGUCAACUUUUAGAUGGCUUUUAGAAGUUACCCUCUUAACCUAAACUAGAAACAGAGCACAGUUAAUCCUCUGUACAAUUACAUAUAUUUAAUAAAAAGUAAGACUG